AUAAAUAUAUAAAGAAAUAGAUCAAGAUAGGGGUAUGGGCAGUAAAAUAAUGGAGAGAGGUCCCAAAAAUGAAUUAUAAGGGAUUAUGAACGGGCCCUGAGGCCCAUGGCUGUAUCAGCUGGCGAAAUGGGCCUUAAACUCAGCUUUCCCUAAAUCCUUGCCCAAAAAGGAAAUAAUAAAGGAAAGGGAUGGAAUCCGAAGGGGAGGAUGUACAGCUGCCCCACGUGUGUGGCUUUGCAAGCCUUCAACAUUCUCCACGUAGCCGCCUGGUUGUUGAGUGAGAAGACGUUCGGCCUUUGGAAUACUCAUCAGCCGUCAGCGCAUUAGCUAAUACGUAAACAGUAAUUAACUCUAAUUAACAACAAUCAAUUAACUUCCUUCUCUUAUGCAUCUUCUCUCCCUCUCUUAAAACCCAAUAUAUCGGCAUAAGAAAACAAAAUAAGAAAAAUCUACACAGCCACCGACGCGGUAUCUUGAUGAACAUCAGAUGAUGUUCAUCACCUCCAAACCCAGACAUCCUUUUAAAAGAGAACAUAAAGCCUUUGAUCCAAAACAAAUCUCUCAACCCUAGCCGCAUAACAUUCAGAAAAUCCCAACAUCAACGACCAAAACGAAUCCAAACCAUGCUCAUAAACUCUCAGAAUUUGAAUCGGAUUUCAAAGUCCAUUCAAAAGUCAAACAUGAAAGUAAGCUAUUACUCAUGUGUACAACAAUAACAAUCAACCACAAUUAAUCUUAAAUCCUAAAACCUAAGAGAAAAAUGGAGGCUACGAUGGUGAUAAGAUUAACAUGAAAGGAAUAGAUCUCACCGGAGCUUCACAACUCUGGCGAGAUUCCGGUGGCCGAAACUAUACCUCAGGGUUGCGAUCACGUCCUCCCUUGACUCGUUACGAUCGAGGUGUAUGCUUGCUUGGUGUUAUGAGCUUUUCUUGCUUUUCUACGUAGGGUAACGAUGCUUUCCCCCCUGUUCUUCAGUCAUUGAGUGCACCUUAUAUAAAGUGAGUUGAGGUCUCCCAAAUCGUCUUCCAAUGGUGUGCUGGAAAAACCGUCAUUUGUUAGAAAAGAUUUUCCUUAGAUCUGGUGUAUAUUCCGAAUCUAUUAGGAAUGAAUUAGUUUCCUUUUUUGUCUCUCGUGGAUGAGAUUUUCAGAUCCCCUAAAUUCCGGUGGUCCCCACUUUGGUAUAUUAUCGGUUGAAUUCAAUUUUCCUUAUGUGAGUAUUUUGAUGGACUUAUUUUGAUGUAUCCAUCUUGUUUCAAUAUCCUGGCUUUAUAUUGACCUGAAUGCAGAGUGGCCUCAUUGACUGAUAACAGGGUGGUUUUGGCAAGUUUCGUUUAUGAUUUUACUGUGAAACGCUUCUUCAACAGGUACAUUCAUCUUUCCUGUUCUGAUUCUUCCUAGCCUUUUAUUUGUGCAUCAGUUUUUGGUUUUAUAAAACUAAAUCUUGAAUCUUGUUUGUAUGUGCAUUCAAUUCUUAUUGGCGGUUCGUAGCAGGCUUUGGUUAUGAAUUAGACUUAGUUACGGAAACUUGUGGCAUCCAUUAUGCCUUUUUUUGUGUGUAACCUGGCUUAGCUCUUGUAUUCGCAGCUAUGAAUUAUGGCUCUUAUGGUUUGAUAGACGCAUUGUAGGUACUCGUGGACACCUCUCUUAGAAGAACAACGGGAAGGGACGACGACCUCUUAAUUAAUGGAUGCAUUUAGUCAUAACCAUGUUCUUGCAUACGGAUUCUAGAAAACAGACGCCAUUCUUCCUCUAGCCUUUUGUUCAGCAUGCCUUGGACCAACCCAAAUGUAGUGUUUACCGGCACACGACGCUUUAGGAAGCUCUUCUUUUCAACUCGAAUUAUGUAAUAGUGCAGUAGAAAAGUAGUACUAAAAUUAUACCCAUGGUCUAUGUACUUCAGAACAUUUAUAGCAAUAUCCAGAAAUUUUCGUGUCUUAGAAAGGAAAUAAAUAUGAGUUCUUACUGUAA